UAUGUCAGGAUCCUACAGCGCCACUGCUAACAUUUCUUUCAGUGGGUGUCUAAGGACUGAUGUGACCACCACUAGUACAGGUGUUCGCAAAGGCCUCUCCUUUUUAGUGGUUUUGGUGUUCUGCAAUCAAACUACUGGUAACCUUUCUUUUUUUUUUGGCAA